UGCUUACCAUGCAGUCGAGCGGAAGGCCCUUCGGGGUACUCGAGCGGCGAACGGGUGAGUAACACGUGAGUAAUCUGCCCCAGGCUCUGGGAUAGCCACCGGAAACGGUGAUUAAUACCGGAUAUGACAACCGAUUGCAUGAUCUGGUUGUGGAAAGUUUUUCGGCCUGGGAUGUGCUCGCGGCCUAUCAGCUUGUUGGUGAGGUAAUGGCUCACCAAGGCUUCGACGGGUAGCCGGCCUGAGAGGGUGACCGGCCACACUGGGACUGAGACACGGCCCAGACUCCUACGGGAGGCAGCAGUGGGGAAUAUUGGACAAUGGGCGGAAGCCUGAUCCAGCAACGCCGCGUGAGGGAUGACGGCCUUCGGGUUGUAAACCUCUUUCAGCACAGACGAAGCGAAAGUGACGGUAUGUGCAGAAGAAGGACCGGCCAACUACGUGCCAGCAGCC
rnacentral:rRNA from 1 species